UGCUGACACACAGGCACACACAUAUAAUGACAGUAGAUAUAAUACUUUUAACUUCUUCUGGAACUUUAUAAAAUUGUUUGUGUUUUUAUUUCAGCGAUGAGGCAGUUAGGAGAAAUGAAGCAGAUAGUCAGAGAGUUGAAGCAUUUAAAUGGUGGUAAUACACAAACACUUACACACUUAAACACACACA